UCCGCAUCUGUGAAAUGGACAUCAUAAU
rnacentral:piRNA from 1 species